AAGAAAAUUAAAUAACAAUAACGAGGUUAUAUACAGGGUAUUACGGUACAGAGUCAAUGUGGAGGCUAUAUACAGGGUAUUACGGUACAGAGUCAAUGUGGAGGCUAUAUACAGGGUGUUACGGUACAGAGUCAAUGUGGAGGCUAUAUACAGGUGGUACCGGUACAGAGUCAAUGUGGAGGCUAUAUACAGGGUGUUACGGUACAGAGUCAAUGUGGAGGCUAUAUACAGGGUGUUACGGUAAAGAGUCAAUGUGGAGGCUAUAUACAGGGUGUUACGGUACAGAGUCAAUGUGGAGGCUAUAUACAGGGUGUUACGGUACAGAGUCAAUGUGGAGGCUAUAUACAGGGUGUUAUGGUACAAAGUCAAUGUGGAGG
rnacentral:lncRNA from 1 species